AUUGAACGCUGGCGGCAUGCUUUACACAUGCAAGUCGAACGGUAGGGUAGCAAUACCUGAGAGUGGCGAACGGGUGAGUAAUGCAUCGGAACAUGCCUAUUUGUGGGGGAUAGCCCGGCGAAAGCCGGAUUAAUACCGCAUACGAUCUACGGAUGAAAGCUGGGGACCGCAAGGCCUAGGGCAAAUAGAGUGGCCGAUGUCAGAUUAGCUAGUUGGUGGGGUAAAGGCUCACCAAGGCAACGACCUGUAGCUGGUUUGAGAGAACGACCAGCCACACUGGGACUGAGACACGGCCCAGACUCCUACGGGAGGCAGCAGUGGGGAAUUUUGGACAAUGGGCGCGAGCCUGAUCCAGCAAUGCCGCGUGCAGGAUGAAGGCCUUCGGGUUGUAAACUGCUUUUGUACGGAGCGAAAAGGCUUCUUCUAAUACAGGAGGCUCAUGACGGUACCGUAAGAAUAAGCACCGGCUAACUACGUGCCAGCAGCCGCCGUAACAC
rnacentral:rRNA from 1 species